UGGGAAAGAUUCAUCGGUAUGGGAUGGGGUCGCGUCCUAUCAGCUUGAUGGCGGGGUAACGGCCCACCAUGGCUUCGACGGGUAGCCGGCCUGAGAGGGCGACCGGCCACAUUGGGACUGAGAUACGGCCCAGACUCCUACGGGAGGCAGCAGUGGGGAAUAUUGCACAAUGGGCGCAAGCCUGAUGCAGCGACGCCGCGUGCGGGAUGUCGGCCUUCGGGUUGUAAACCGCUUUUGACUGGGAGCAAGCCCUUCGGGGUGAGUGUACCUUUCGAAUAAGCACCGGCUGACUACGUGCCAGCAGCCGCGGUAAUACGUAGGGUGCAAGCGUUAUCCGGAAUUAUUGGGCGUAAAGGGCUCGUAGGCGGUUCGUCGCGUCCGGUGUGAAAGUCCAUCGCUUAACGGUGGAUCCGCGCCGGGUACGGGCGGG
rnacentral:rRNA from 1 species